GCUUUGGGGGACCGAGGCCUCCUGAGCCGCCUGAGCCUGCGUCGUUGCGGGCCGAAGCCGUGGGUGGGGUCACCAAUGUGUCCGGUCCGGGCCGAGCUGGGCGCGAAGGCCCGGGCGACAUGCGCCACUUCCCCGGCCGCCGCUGACCGCGAGCGCGAGCGUCUCGGCACCGCCCUCCGCGCUCCCGGGGCGCCGCCGCGCUGCGCUGCGGCUCGGCCUUUCCCCCGCUGGCGCCGGCUGGCGGAGGGCGCUGGGGACGGCGCCCGGCGGGAACGGACUGCCGCUGUCGCUUUGUAGUACCUGUGGGACGCCGACAGCCCCGAGCCCCGGUCAUUCUGAUAUCAGCACAGAAGCCCAUUCCCUCCUGUCAGGAUCGCAGUCCAUUCCUCCUUCCUUGCCACUGAAGUGAGUUUGAAAAAGACUGACCUCCGGAGACCUUCCUUCUUUCAGCCAUGAAGACAGAGACCGGGCUUCCCACCCAGGAGACGCAAGCGGAGUCCAGCUGUCACCCCAGUAAUCUAUGGAGUGGCCGGAAGCUGAUGGUUGUGGGGGUCUUGCUCGGCUGGCUCCUGGUCAUCCACCUCCUGGUCAACGUGUGGCUUCUGUGCCUUCUCUCUGCGUUGUUCGUGGUGCUGGGAGGAUGGCUAGGCUCCGGUGCCAUUGUAGGGGCUUCGGGUCGACUGCACCUGGAACGCUUCAUCUCGGUGCCCUCCUGCCCUCCGUGUCCCGAAGCAGAAAGACAGCUGGACCUCCUGAUCAACCGCACUAUCCAGAUGAUUACUCGUGAUUUUGUGUUAUCCUGGUAUCACUCAGUGAGCCAGGAGUCAGCCUUUAAGGAAGAGAUAGAAGCGGCCAUGAAGGGGUUGGUACAGGAGCUUCGGAGGAGAAUGGGCAUGGUGGACAGCCGUGCUCUCACCCAGACGGUUCUGACCCUCUGCGGUUGUCACCUGCAAAGCUAUAUUCAGGCAAAGGAGGCCACUGAAGGGAAGCAGAGUGGUCCAGUUCCACCUUCUGAGCUCUGGGAGGCAUAUUGCCGGGCUACUGCCCCCCACCCUGCUCUGCAUAACCCUACCACCGAGGUCACAUAUACCCGUAGCGUUGUGAAUUUGUUACUUAAAGGUCUGGUACCCAAGCCCCACUUGGAUACUAGGACUGGACGGCAUGUAGUGGUCGAACUCAUUACUUGCAAUGUAAUCUUACCACUGAUCAACAAGUUGUCAGAUCCUGAUUGGAUCCACCUUAUACUUGUAAGUAUCUUUUCCAGGGCCAGAAAUGAUCUCAAACAAGCAACUAAACCAUUAUGCACCCCUGGUGAUCUGGAGCAGCCCUCCGUGCCCACAUCACUGCCACUGAUUCUAGAAGUGGACAGUCUACCAGAAGGGAGAGCCCCCUCUCCUGGAGCAGCUACAUCGCUUCUGAACUCCAGUGAAGCCGGCCCCUCCCCUGAGAUUGAAGAAGGUCAUGAAGCUAUAGAGGCAGAUUUGGGUGGAAUGCUUGAAGAAAGAAAAGUAGGAAACAACUCAUCUCAUUUUCUACAUCCAAAUAUCCGAGGCCCCUUGUUCUUAUGUGAAGACUCAGAGCUGGAGUCUCCCCUCUCUGAACUGGGUAAAGAAACUAUCAUGCUAAUGACUCCGGGCAACUUCCUGUCUCACAGAAUCCAGGAUGCCUUGUGUGCCCUAGAAGAGUCUCAGGUUUUGGAGCCUAAGGAUAGUGAGGGAUCUGAGGGCACUGAAGGAGCAGAAGCUGAGGAGGUUCCAGGGACAGAAACAGAGUCAGGUCUGCUGGAGUCCAUGCUAAAUUCCUGCCCAGAAAUCCAGAUUGACAGUGUAGAAAAGGAAGUAGAACCGGAUGUUACCGCUCUGACAGCUUUACCAGAGACACCAGAAAAAACCUGCCCCCCACGACCCUCGUGCCUAGAGAAGGAUCUCACUGAUGCUGUGAGUUCCCUGGAUCCUACUUUGCCACAGGUUUCACUUUCUUCCUCUCCAACUGGGCCUCUCAGCUCAGGCACCUUCAGCUUUGAGCCCCUGAGCAGUCCAGAUGGACCGGUUGUCAUCCAGAACCUUCGUAUUACUGGCACCAUCACCGCCCGAGAGCACAGUGGCACUGGAUUCCACCCAUACACACUCUAUACUGUGAAGUACGAGACCGCCCUGCACAGUAGUGAGGGCAGCAGUGGCCUGCAGCAGCUGGCCUACCACACCGUGAACCGCCGCUACCGGGAGUUCUUGAACCUGCAGACCCGUCUGGAGGAGAAACCAGAUCUGCGGAAGUUCAUCAAAAAUGUAAAGGGUCCAAAAAAGCUCUUUCCAGAUCUUCCUUUUGGAAACAUGGACAGUGACAGAGUAGAAGCCCGGAAAAGCCUCCUGGAAUCAUUCCUGAAGCAACUCUGUGCCAUUCCUGAGAUUGCUAACAGUGAGGAGGUACAGGAGUUCCUUGCUCUGAACACUGAUGCUCGUAUCGCCUUUGUGAAGAAACCGUUCAUGGUGUCUCGGAUAGACAAGAUGGUGGUGAGUGCCAUUGUGGACACAUUGAAGACCGCAUUUCCUCGCUCUGAGCCCCAGAGCCCCACGGAGGAGCUGAGUGAGGCCGAGAAUGAGAGCAAGCCACAGACAGAAGGCAAGAAGGCCAGCAAGUCCAGACUGAGGUUCUCAUCCAGCAAAAUUGCGCCAGCCCUGACUGUGACAGAAGCACAUGACAGGAUUCUCUAUUGCCUCCAGGAAAGCCAUGUGGGGUCAGAGAUCCUGUCCAUGUCCGGAAUGGAAUCGUUUAUUAAAAAGCAGACAAAAGUACUGGAAAUGCAGGCAGCAGGAGCCCCAGAACAAAUCCCCAAGGGACAUGUGGACAGUUGCUUGCCCAGUGCAACUGUUGCAGCCCAACACCUGAGCAGCAAUGACUCAGGAACGGAGACCGAGUUAGCGGACAUAGCCCUGGAUCUGAUCCUCUUGCUCGUGAUGCAGCAGUGGAAAUGGCUGUGCACUGAAAACAUGCAGAAAUGUCUCCGCCUUGUCUUCGGAACCCUUGUUCAGAGGGAGUGUUACUCUUCACUGGCAGUAUUUACCACCGUGACAAUAAACGGGGAAUGACAAGAGAAACAGAUUAAAGGUUGUUUUCUCCAAUAGAAGAAUAAAUAUUCACAAAUGAAGAAGCGCUUGGUGAUACAAGGUGUGAAAGCCAGAAAGAAGUUUGGAUUUACAACUUGGCUUUUAUAAUUCAAGCUUUGUGAUUCCAACACAACUUGAUCUCCUGGAAGAUUUAUAUACAGAUAAGUUUUUAACUGCUGACUUCCCAAUCACAGAAUGGCUGUCAGCUUUGCUAAACUAAAAAAGAACUGAGACACUGUCUGUGAACCAGAGACACAUGGAGUGCUUAAGUUUUAUCUACUUGAUCUCUGCCUUAUGAGACAUCCUGGCAGUAAGAAGCCAAAUGCUGACAUGUCCAUAUCAUGUGGUUCACUCCAGAGAACAUGAAGGUUGCUCCAAAAAAUCUUUUUACAGAACCACGCCAUUAUCUAUUGUAUACCACGUAGAAACUCCCUGAAGAAUCUGUUCCCUCUCAGCAUGCUCAGAGUUGCAUUGAAUUAGUAAGGCUCAUAGAGACGCAGGGAAAGAGACACAUAUUUGUGUCUGCCAGUGCCUAGUACCUGGCCCCAGCUACAUAUUUUCCAUAGUGAUCAAGUGGAGUAGGCAGCCCCAUUUUACAGAAUAAGAAAACAGAGCUUAGCAAAUGAUGUGCCCAAGGUCACGCUGACAUACAAGAAGCUUUAAACUGGAUUUAUGUGACCCCAAAGCAGUCUGCUUUUCCCUGUAUGUUAGUCACCUGGUGAGGCCCAUGUGUGAGAUGCUGGCUGAUCUCUGUACCAUUAGGCUUUCCCUGUUGCCCCUUCUUCAUACUCAGCUCUGCCACCAGGGAGCUUUUUUUGAAAAACUACUUCUGUACUCAGAUUUCCCAAUGGCACUGUGCUGCCUAGAACAGUCUCGGGGUUCUAAAGUCCCAUGGAGGUACUUCAAGGACCUGUCUUAGAAACAGGAAGACCAUGACCCAGCUAAAGCAGUUCGCUUUGAUCAAGGAUCAAGGCAAGGUUUUGUUUGUAAAAGGGCUCACUGUGUUUUAAAUACACAGUUAGAGCCUGAGAUGUAGUUCAGUGAUAGAGCUUAAGUGUAGCAUGCAUAAGGCCCUGGGUUCAAUCUUGAACACAAAAAAAGCUUAGAAAUACAUUUGCUAUUUAUAUUUAAAUUUGUUGCUACUUACCUAGCAUGAUCUGGCCCCAGUUUUAUUUCUGUUCUCCCCUGCAAACUGUCAUUCAUUGCCUGAGUGGUCUCUUUCCUCGAGGCAUUUGCUUAUCUUCUUAUCUCUGCCUGAAUGAAAUUUCUCUCCUCAUUUUCCUGCUCUCCUACUCGGACCCUAAUUGCCCCCAUUUUCAUGUGUUUAACCUAGUACUAAAUAUUUCUCAGUAAUCAUGAGAAGUCAUUUAUUCUGUGCAGUUUUCUAUGGUAUCCUCUCCCGCUUUCGUAGAACUAAGGAACCUUCUUUGCUACCAAAGUUUUAGCACUAACUCUUGCCUCACAGGUAUUGUGUAAAUUAUCUGCUUCCCCACACCAGUGGUUCUCAACUAGCAGUCACCUGCAUCUUCCUAGUGACUUAGGCAGUAUCUGGGGAAUCCAGGGUCGUAGCUGGGAGCAGGAGAGGAGAUUCCCAGUGGCAUCCAGUGUGUGUGGGAAGAUGCUGCCUACCAUCCUGUGCUACUCGGGACAGCUCUGUCCCUUCCCCUAAACAGUCAUGAAGGAACAUUCCCAAAGUGACAGAAGCCCUCCUUUAAGGGCCCGAACUAGCGUUGUGUCCUCAGCACAUUGUACAAGACCUGGGCAGACAGAGAGUCAGUAAGUAUUUGAUAAAGGCAUAAACAUUUCCUUUCUUAGUAUCUUUAUAUUGAAAAUAUGUUCCCUUAUGUUUUAUUCAGCCAUCUAUGAGUGUUGCUUAUUUGGCCUUCACUUCUCUUCUCCCUCUAUUAAGCUUCCCUUUGCUGGUCUUUCAAGUGCUUUAAAAAAUGGAAAGAUUCCAGAUAUUGAUCACUGAUGUCUCCCUCUCCUUUAAAAUCAUUUGCGUGAGGACUCAAUUUCAGAAAACACAAAAUUAUUCCAUAGGUACAUAGAAGCAUAGGAGAAAUUCAAGAGAGAGUGAGCUCCACUUUAAGAAGGUAGGAGAGGUUUAUCUACAGUUUGAAUAACGUGAAUAUUAAAGGGCCUAGGUCAGUUCAGAGGGCCUCUGCGUCUCGCCUGGCGAGGAUCUUCGGAAAUCCAAGCAGGAGGGUGAACUGAAAAGGAAACAGGCCCCGUGGACCCUGUAGGUGUGGGCGAGAGCUUCAGGGCUCAGAUGUGGGCUGGGAAACUGCCCGUCGUGCUGCAGUAGCUCAGUGAAGGGUGAGUGGGAUGGAAAGAAGCACUUGGGCCCUGGUCUGAGCUGCCUUUUAACUUGGUGGUAGAAAUUCGUUCAAGCUGUUUCAUGGCAUUCGUCAUACUUUGUCUGGAAGUACUUAUCUCUCUAUCCAGUUGAAGAUUUCUUUUGGCCUUACCAUUUUAUUCAUUGAAAGAAAUUUUCCUGAGGACCGGUUAGUGCUGAACAAAGCAGACAUGGUUCCUGCUUACAUGUAUCUUACAAUCUAAUGAAGAUGAACACUAAAUCUAGGACCUUACCCGUGGUCACAGGCCAACUAGUGAUGGGGCCAGCGUUCAAGCCCAGGUGUUCCAAAGCCCAAGGUACAACUACCACUGUAGAUGGCUGUUCUGUAUUUAAAUUCUCUGAGCUUGGGUUUCCUCAUCUGAACAUAGAAUCAGUAAUACUGUUUUUCUUUAGAUGUAUUACAAGGUUUCCAGUAAAUGUUGGGUCUUCAGAAAAAUUUCCUCUUCAGUGAAGGAAAGGAAGACUGAAAUGUGUGUUUGGUCUCUUCUUCCUCUACUAUUGGCUCCAGAUGAACUCGGUUUUUAGUCUUCAGGACGUUCCACCCUCUACCAGUCGCCGACUGCCUGCUGCCACUGUUUCUUGUGUGCCUGUCUGAGCUACUCAGGAUGGACCUUCUAGACGUGACGGCUUGGCUUUAUAAGGACUGUCGAGAUGAUUCUGUAGCUUAGUCUUACGUAUGAAGACAACAUGUCUAGGCCACGCAAAGACAGGGUUUGUGGAGAUUACUUCAUGCACAUGUUAGGCACAUUGUAGCAUCUAUAAUCACUUGCAAAGCCCGAGGAAGAGGCAUUGUGAUUCCCCACUUACCAUGUGAGGAAGCUAAAGCUUUCAAAGAAUUGAGAGUUUUACAUCCUGAUUACAGAGCUCCUAAAUAUUACAGUACAUGUAGAAUCUGAACCCAGAUUUCUCUCACUUUGGCUCUGAUGAUUCUCCAACUUUGAAGGCUCAGCCCUGUGCCCAGUAGUUUGGAGGGAUAAAAGCUAACUGAAAACUCUUCGGUUCAGAGCAGCAGACUUUCCCCAGGAAGAGACUACCAGAUAUUUAGAAUCCAGGUUGCAUCCCCAUCUCUACACACUGACAUAGCAAAAAAGGCACUGCCACCCCCAAAAGUCAGCUACAUUCUAUCCCUGGGCAGCCUGCGAUUUUUAUUUUUAAGGUACAGUUUAUGCAGUGCCAGUGUUUGACUUUGUUUGCUGUAGUAAGCAAAUAAGCCGGGAACUUGAUAGGAGCAGUGGUACCCUCCCUGCUGCACCCCCUGCCCCUCCACCUGGGUGGGUACGAAAUGAGGUCCAGUGUCCCCAUGCCUUUGUGACAGCUGCUUGAGAGGCCGCAUGUUUGUUCUCUCUGAAACUGCAGGGACCUGAGCCACAUCCUUUGAUGGGCACUUAGACUUUCUGCCUUUGAGUUCUGUGUUUUAUGUAGCAAGGUCAUGGGUGCUGGUUCCACAGGUGGCUGCAGCCAUUUCUCUAGUUAUUCUGAACACAAUGUGGUCUGGGCAUCAGGAAUGAUUCAGCCACCUAGAAUUAGGAGCACCACCUCCUGCAAAUGCCCUUAUUUUCCAACCUCCAGCAUUAUUUCUCCAGGAAGGCAUUUAUUUCUUCUGCUUCCAGUUUCUUUUACUCGCUCUGUUUCCUUAAAAGACCUGUGUACAUAACUGCCUUGGACUCUGAGGACCUCUGCCAGGUUACAGGCAUGCUGUCUCCAGUCUGCAGGGGUGGAGAGGGAGAAAUAAAUUCAACUUCGUGACCCCCUUUUCUCAGCUAAGGUCGGAGGCUUCUGAUCUAAGCCAGGCUUAUAAAUCUCUCAUGACUGUUCAUGGUGUGGAAGGAGUUGAGGAGGGGAGCACAUGAGAAGUUAGAUGCCCAAAAAAGGCAUUGUUAAGUCAAAGGCAAGUCCUGCACGCAUGCGUGCCCAACCUCGUGUGUCAACUUCUGUGCUGGGAACAUACCAUUAUGUAACAUGGAGACCUCCUUAUUUGGGAGGGGAAAGGGAGUUAGUGUAGCAGUGUGAGCUCAGGAGGGAAUCUAGCUUGUGCAAACUGCUCACAUCUGAAAACAGAAAACUUGACAGUAUCCCUGCAAGCCUCACAGUCAGGGUUAGGGAAACUGCUCUGAGCUAGUCUGGGUUGCAGGGAAGGAGGAGAGAUGUAUUAUGCUCCAUUGAUGAUAGAAGGUUUGGGUCAGAAGGAUGCAGCCAAGGAGAACCUCGGGUUCCUCAACAGUUCUGAGGGACGAGCAGCACAAAUGGAAUCAGAACCCCAUGUCCCUUUCCUACAGAGCAUCUCCCAUCUGAUCAUCUGCCCAGCUCCAGUUCCCAGAGCCGUGGUUGGACCUAAGCACGAGGUUUCUCCUGACACCUUCUCCUGAAGCACCCCAGCUCCGCUGAGCUUGCCCUCUUUGCAAGCUGUCCUGCUGCUACACCCUUCAGACCACUGCCUUCCCAUGGGGCAGCAAGACUCCUUGAGCCUUGAGGUCAGAUCCAAAUCCGAAUCCUGCAAGAUGCACUUUCUCGGUGACCUGGAUAAGUUACUCAGUCUGCCUUUGCCGCUCAGCCUCCUCUCGGUCUUCUUUGCCUCACUCGUGGAGCUGAGGGAUGAAAGAUGGUUAGGCAGUAAAUAUCGGGGAGUAUUUAUAGAGUAAGGUAUGUAUUUAGAGCCAGCGCUUACGACAGGUAUCCUUUAAACUGAUUUAGGCUGAAGGAUAUUCCAGGCAACACAACAUACUUAAAAGAGUAAGAGAGCAUUAUGUCACUUUUUAAAUAAAAAGCAACCUUUGGACAUA